UACGAGGGGGGCGAGCGUUGUUCGGAAUUAUUGGGCGUAAAGGGUGCGUAGGCGGUUUGGUAAGUCUUGUGUGAAAUCUCCAGGCUCAACUUGGAGUCUGCACGAGAAACUGCCGGGCUGGAGUGUGGGAGAGGUGAGUGGAAUUUCCGGUGUAGCGGUGAAAUGCGUAGAUAUCGGAAGGAACACCUGUGGCGAAAGCGGCUCACUGGACCAUAACUGACGCUGAUGCACGAAAGCUAGGGGAGCAAACAGG
rnacentral:rRNA from 1 species